rnacentral:rRNA from 1 species
GAUGAACGCUGGCGGCGUGCUUAACACAUGCAAGUCGAACGGAAAGGCCCAAGCUUGCUUGGGUACUCGAGUGGCGAACGGGUGAGUAACACGUGGGUGAUCUGCCCUGCACUUCGGGAUAAGCCUGGGAAACUGGGUCUAAUACCGGAUAGGACCACAUUUUGGAUGGUGUGGUGGAAAGUUUUUCGGUGUGGGAUGAGCUCGCGGCCUAUCAGCUUGUUGGUGGGGUAAUGGCCUACCAAGGCGUCGACGGGUAGCCGGCCUGAGAGGGUGUACGGCCACAUUGGGACUGAGAUACGGCCCAGACUCCUACGGGAGGCAGCAGUGGGGAAUAUUGCACAAUGGGCGCAAGCCUGAUGCAGCGACGCCGCGUGGGGGAUGACGGCCUUCGGGUUGUAAACUCCUUUCGCUAGGGACGAAGCGUUUUUGUGACGGUACCUGGAGAAGAAGCACCGGCUAACUAUGU